UCCGUGAACGAAUUCCCCAUGAAAAACUCCGAUUUCUGCAUUCUGGCACGCGGCAGCAGCUUUUCCCCCGAAGGAUUUUCGUCGGUCCCCGAACUAAUAUCAAAUUGAUAGCUUUUAAAUUUGAUUUCGCGUCUUAUCACCGACCGCUUAAGCGAACAGUUUCGGAGCUGCAGCCCCCAAUCGCUACGCAAUCCACAGCGAUGGUUGGAAAAACAAAUGGAGUGUGGCCGGGUGGAGGGAGCACCCCCUCAUGCAUUAAAAAUGAGGAUGGCAGGGCAUUUGAUGCUGUGCAAGUGCAACGUGGCGUAUGCUUGUUGUGUUUUGUUUUGCUCGCUUUGCGUCCGCAUUGAAAAUACAUUGAAAAUGCCGGUGCAACACAAGUGUUUCGGCCUUGAUACGGAUACGAUGCUAUAUGCUGGAUAUAGAGUCAUCCAUCCGACCGUCCCAUUCAGAAUCCAUAGGCUUCAAGUCACAUGCCGGCCAACUAAUAUCGAGCACUCUUGAGAACGCAGAGCCUCAGGAAAAUGUUAUCACAGUCUGCAUCCGGCACGGAGUCCUCCGCCUCUGCCGAAGUGCAACUCGGCGAUUCGGUUCAAAUUCCGCUUUACAGUCUCUGCUCCUCGGCGCUCAGAUGCUAGUCGGCAUUUGGCGCGUGCAGUUCAGUUCAGUUCACUCGGUCGAAAAUUGCCCGGACUCGUUUAAUAGCGGAAUAUCGUUCUAAAAUUAAACAUUUCGCGGAGGCACUGAGAGAAAACUAUCGCUCGAAUCGCUAGUAAUUCGGUAAUUUUGCUUAGCAAAGCGAGGACCAGAAAUAGGAAGAAAAUAUUUGUUAAAAUAAAAAAAAUAGUUGUCUAAUGCCC
ensembl:ncRNA lncRNA:CR45660 long non-coding RNA:CR45660